UUGAACGCUGGCGGCAGGCCUAACACAUGCAAGUCGAACGGUAACAGGAAGAAGCUUGCUUCUUUGCUGACGAGUGGCGGACGGGUGAGUAAUGUCUGGGAAACUGCCUGAUGGAGGGGGAUAACUACUGGAAACGGUAGCUAAUACCGCAUACGUCGCAAGACCAAAGAGGGGGACCUUCGGGCCUCUUUCCAUCGGAUGUGCCCAGAUGGGAUUAGCUAGUAGGUGGGGUAACGGCUCACCUAGGCGACGAUCCCUAGCUGGUCUGAGAGGAUGACCAGCCACACUGGAACUGAGACACGGUCCAGACUCCUACGGGAGGCAGCAGUGGGGAAUAUUGCACAAUGGGCGCAAGCCUGAUGCAGCCAUGCCGCGUGUAUGAAGAAGGCCUUCGGGUUGUAAAGUACUUUCAGCGGGGAGGAAGGGAGUAAAGUUAAUACCUUUACUCAUUGACGUUACCCGCAGAAGAAGCACCGGCUAACUCCGUG
rnacentral:rRNA from 1 species